rnacentral:ncRNA from 1 species
AUUAAUCUGCCACCGGGUAGAGAAUGCAAAAGCAUUCGUUACACAUCGUUAGGUCUUUGAAGAUGUGUAUACGAAUGUUUAUUUUUUU